rnacentral:rRNA from 1 species
GAUGAACGCUAGCUACAGGCUUAACACAUGCAAGUCGAGGGGAAACGAUAUUGGAAGCUUGCUUCUGAUAGGCGUCGACCGGCGCACGGGUGAGUAACGCGUAUCCAACCUGCCCAUCACUUGGGGAUAACCUUGCGAAAGUAAGACUAAUACCCAAUGACGUCUCUAGAAGACAUCUGAAAGAGAUUAAAGAUUUAUCGGUGUACGAUGGGGAUGCGUUCCAUUAGGUAGUAGGCGGGGUAACGGCCCACCUAGCCUACGAUGGAUAGGGGUUCUGAGAGGAAGGUCCCCCACAUUGGAACUGAGACACGGUUCCAAACUCCUACGGGAGGCAGCAGUGAGGAAUAUUGGUCAAUGGACGAGAGUCUGAACCAGCCAAGUAGCGUGAAGGAUGAAGGUCCUACGGAUUGUAAACUUCUUUUAUAAGGGAAUAAACCCUCCACGUGUGGGAGCUUGUAUGUACCUUAUGAAUAAGCAUCGGNUAACUCCGUG